GUCACUUUGCCGGAGUGGUUAACGGGAUCGCCUGCUAUUGACUGGAUCCCCAGUUAUUCAAUAGUUUGAAAGCGGUUGUGCUUUGCACGCGAGUGUUCGAAUCGCUCAGGUGACG